CGUAGGUGAACUGCGGAGGGAUCAUUACACAAAUACAAUAUGAAGGCUUCGGCUGGAUUAUUUAUUUCACCCUUGUCUUUUGCGCACUUGUUGUUUCCUGGGCGGGUUCGCCCGCCACCAGGACCACACCAUAAACCUUUUUUGUUAAUGCAGUCAGCGUCAGUACAACAAAUGUAAAUCAUUUACAACUUUCAACAACGGAUCUCUUGGUUCUGGCAUCGAUGAAGAACGCAGCGAAAUGCGAUACGUAGUGUGAAUUGCAGAAUUCAGUGAAUCAUCGAAUCUUUGAACGCACAUUGCGCCCUUUGGUAUUCCAAAGGGCAUGCCUGUUCGAGCGUCAUUUGUACCCUCAAGCUUUGCUUGGUGUUGGGCGUUUUGUCUUUGCUCGCCAAAGACUCGCCUUAAAACGAUUGGCAGCCGACCUCUUGGUUUCGCAGCGCAGCACAAUUUUGCGCUUGCAAAUCAGCAAGUUGGCACUCCAUCAAGAACAUUUUCUUACGUUUGACCUCGGAUCAGGUAGGGA
rnacentral:misc_RNA from 1 species